rnacentral:snRNA from 1 species
AUAAUCUCUAGCAUUUUUCAC